GACGAACGCUGGCGGCGUGCUUAACACAUGCAAGUCGAACGGAAAGGCCCUGCUUUUGUGGGGUGCUCGAGUGGCGAACGGGUGAGUAACACGUGAGUAACCUGCCCUUGACUUUGGGAUAACUUCAGGAAACUGGGGCUAAUACCGGAUAGGAGCUCCUGCUGCAUGGUGGGGGUUGGAAAGUUUCGGCGGUUGGGGAUGGACUCGCGGCUUAUCAGCUUGUUGGUGGGGUAGUGGCUUACCAAGGCUUUGACGGGUAGCCGGCCUGAGAGGGUGACCGGCCACCUUGGGACUGCGGUACGGCCCAGACUCCUACGGGAGGCAGCAGUGGGGAAUAUUGCCCAAUGGGCGGAAGCCUGAUGCAGCAACGCCGCGUGCGGGAUGACGGCCUUCGGGUUGUAAACCGCUUUCGCCUGUGACGAAGCGUGAGUGACGGUAAUGGGUAAAGAAGCACCGGCUAACUACGUG
rnacentral:rRNA from 1 species